rnacentral:rRNA from 1 species
UACGUAGGGGGCCAGCGUUGUCCGGAAUCAUUGGGCGUAAAGCGCGCGUAGGCGGCCAGAUAAGUCCGGUGUGAAAGUCAAAGGCUCAACCUUUGAAUGCCGCUGGAAACUGUCUGGCUUGAGUCCGGGAGGGGCGAGUGGAAUUCCUGGUGUAGCGGUGAAAUGCGCAGAUAUCAGGAGGAACACCGAUGGCGAAGGCAGCUCGCUGGAGCGGUACUGACGCUGAGGCGCGAAAGCGUGGGGAGCGAACAGG